CAGCAGCCACGGUAAUACGUAGGUGGCAAGCGCUGUCCGGAAUUAUUGGGCGUAAAGGGCUCGCAGGCGGUUUCUUAAGUCUGAUGUGAAAGCCCCCGGCUCAACCGGGGAGGGUCAUUGGAAACUGGGAAACUUGAGUACAGAAGAGGAGAGUGGAAUUCCACGUGUAGCGGUGAAAUGCGCAGAGAUGUGGAGGAACACCAGCGGCGAAGGCGACUCUCAGGUCUGUAACUGACGCUGAGGAGCGAAAGCGUAGGGAGCGAACAGGAUUAGAUACCCCGGUAGUCCCUGUCUCUUAUAA
rnacentral:rRNA from 1 species